CCCCUCUCAGGGUUGCACCUGGAGUUUCCAGUACUCUACCAGUCUCGAUUACGGGAGGGAGAGUCAAGCAGAGGCAUACCCAUUCCGUUCCUAGCUUGGCCAUUGGCUAGCGAGUGGAAGGCAAUCUGCUACAAGU
rfam:Ornithorhynchus anatinus chromosome 3, whole genome shotgun sequence.